rnacentral:tRNA from 1 species
UCUACUAAAGGAUAAUAGACUUCCUUUGGUCUUAGGCACCAAAACUCUUGGUGCAAAUCCAAGUAGUAGAA